rnacentral:tRNA from 1 species
GGGGAGUAGCUCAGAGGGUAGAGCUCUCGCUUAGCAUGUUAGAGGCACGGGGAUUGAUACCCUGUAUCUUCA